UGGGUUGAUAAAACAGUGGAACGGUAUCCUUCUUUCACGUGUUUACUUUGACUUAUUUAAAUGAAAAGGUGUACUUUAAAAUAGAACAUCAAUUGUCUGAGAUAAUUCCUCCUGGUAUUGAUGACUCCCUGCUAAUUUAUCAAUAUUGGAUACAGUUUUGGAAUUAUGUUCCAAAUACAGAUGCCUUGAGUACAAGGGGGGAGAGGGGAAAAAAAUGACUAGUUCCUUUAGCCAGGGGCAUCAGGAGUGCAAUGGCAAGUACUAUGUGCAGGUGUGUUUGAUGUCCUCUGCCAUCCUGACUGAAGAGCAACAGUAGCUCAAAUGGGGGUAGUCUUUGGCUAAAACCUGUCUUAAGUGUCAAAUUCACAGUUGUAGGGUCUGGCCAAAUUAAACAGUUGCAUCUGUGAGUCUGCACAGUCUUUUAUAUCAUUAAGCAAUCAUUAAAAUUAUACCUACCUGAUCUGGAGCCUUAUCUUUUAUGUACCCAUGUGUUGACAACAAAAAGUGAGUCAUCACUAGAAGCCAUGUGUUCUCAGAAAUUGAAUAUUACCUGCUGCUGUCUAUCCAGUAAAAAUCAUUUUCUCCCUGAUUGUGGUCCCUUGGGUCAGCUCCAUGGCAUCUGUAAUGGAAACCUCGUCAAUACAAAAUGUAAAAGCUCCUCAUUAUUGAUGGCAUAGAAAUUGUUGCUGAUGGCUGCUGUCAGUUGAUCUACUUCUGCAGUCUGCUGUUUUCUGCCACAUUGGAGCUAAGUGAGUGGCAGCAAUGCUAAGAAAUCUUAAGUUAAAAAAUAAAAUAAAAUUCCAUAGACAUAGAUACUAAAGACAGAAAAGGUACUUUUUUUUUGCUCGAGUGAGCACAUUAAACUUUCAUUGCUGUUAACUCGUUUGCGUCAUUUCUGUAUCCUGUGUUCUGGUAUGGUGCUGACAGAAAUAUUAAAUGGAACACAGAAUGAUUAGAUACUUUUAAUCUUAGACGUUUUAAUGUUUUGAGAGGUUCUCAGUCAAAUAUAAUGAAAAUUUUCUUUACAUCAAUUUGUGGGACUUUCAGACAGAUAAAAGUAAACAAGGAACAGUUCCAAAUUGGCACCUGUGCAAUCUUAUAGUAACAAAUCUUAAACAAAAGGUUGAAACCUUAGCUGUCUACUGUAAUAUUAUUUGAAUAGGUACAGAGCAUAUGAAGUAUUUUGUUCUUAACAUUGGAUAGCAUAGUGAAAUAGAUUAAUAGGAAUCACAUUGUUCUCUUAGUUCAGAAAAAAAAUAACACAUACUUCAGUUUGUUAGCUAUCAUGUUUAUUGUUCCCAAAUUGCUGAAAAUAAACAUUUCAGCUUGUAGAAAUGAGGAGUGGUAGGUCUGAUUACUGUUAUAAAAUUGAUGUAAGAUUUCAUACUGUAUAUAAACAUGUUUUAUUCUUUGUCUCCUGUAACUCCCCUUUUGUUUGGGAACAAUACAUGUGGGGAAGGGAUGAGCAGAGUGAGAUAAGAGCACAAACGUUGAUACUUUUUUGAUAAUAGCAUUUUCACCUUUUAACUUUUCAAUUUAGAGCUUUUAAAAGAGAUUGCACUUAAAGCAAUGAGAUUACCUUGACAAAAUAUUUCAUUACACUUAGUGAAUAAUACAUUUAAUUUAAAACUCUGGGUUGGCUUUCAUUGCAAAUGUUUUUCAGAUAGCUGUGGUAGCUUAUAGACAGAGACAUGAUUAACCCCAAUCAGACCCACUGAACUUUAAA